AACGAACGCUGGCGGCAUGCCUAACACAUGCAAGUCGAACGAGACCUUCGGGUCUAGUGGCGCACGGGUGCGUAACGCGUGGGAACCUGCCCUUAGGUUCGGAAUAACUCCCCGAAAGGGGUGCUAAUACCGGAUAAUGUCUUCGGACCAAAGAUUUAUCGCCUUUGGAUGGGCCCGCGUUGGAUUAGCUAGUUGGUAGGGUAAAAGCCUACCAAGGCGACGAUCCAUAGCUGGUCUGAGAGGAUGAUCAGCCACACUGGGACUGAGACACGGCCCAGACUCCUACGGGAGGCAGCAGUGGGGAAUAUUGGACAAUGGGUGAAAGCCUGAUCCGGCAAUGCCGCGUGAGUGAUGAGGGCCUUAGGGUUGUAAAGCUCUUUUACCCGGGAUGAUAAUGACAGUACCGGGAGAAUAAGCUCCGGCUAACUCCGUG
rnacentral:rRNA from 1 species